ensembl:processed_transcript
ACCGCUGCAAGUUAGCACUGGACAAAGUAGCAUCAACUUCUUCAUUUAGAGUUUCUUCAGUUAAAUUGCUGGGAUUUUCGACAAGGCUUUCCUUAUGUGGAUUAUUGGAGUGUGAUGCCCGAGAAUUCUCUACUUGUAGAAGCACGCCCACGGGACUGCAGAAGCCUUCACACCCACCCAGCACGCUCAGAAAGUACUGUCUUCAACCUUACCAAUGUCAGUGGCGGCGACGGUGGCGUCACCAUCACCAUCAGAGAAAAAGAAAUAUGCCUUUAUGUCAUGAUGGGAAUGAGUGAUGGCCAUCCAGUGACCAGCUGGAUCUGACUGCCUUACAAGACGCAUGUGUAUGAUUAAGAGAGAGACAUUCGUGACUCCCAGAUGUACCUCCUUCCUGUCCCACAGUGUUCCUGAAGGGAGUGAGUUAUGGGGUAACUUAUAACACAGCAGGCUCUUCCUCAAGAUAGCUCUUGUCAAAACAGGAAGACGAAACUCGGGUUUCCAUGAGGAGACCACAGCUUGGGAUCCUGUCUGGAUGUACAAGCAGAAGCAUCUUCAUACUUUUCCAUUUCUAACCAUCAUGCCUCACCCCACCCUCCCAAGGCGACAUCUGCAGAGAGGUGGAACCAUCUAGGGAGGCCUGCCACUGUUUGCUGAGCUCCGGGUGAGGAUGAAGACACUUUGACAUGGCCAGCUUCAGACUCGGGAUCUGUCGGUGUUAGCAGCCGAAGGAGAAUGAGGAGGAAGAGGAGGAGAAAGAGGAGGAGGAAGUAAGACAGAGGGGGACAAGAGGACCAAGAGGGCACAUGGCUGAGGAGGAGGAGAAC